rnacentral:lncRNA from 1 species
GUGGGCAUUACCGCAGUAUAUAAAUGAUGUUGAAGAGAGAUAACGUUUUUUCAGGUUCCUGUAUCUUCAUGUCGAGUUGGUCGCUGCCCAACGUAGAGGACUAGGAAUCAGGAGUCAGUGGCCGUAUGCUGGAGGCUGGAGCCACGUGAACGCGGCUCGCCUUGCUGCGGUUGUUGGCAGUGAUGGAGAGAUAGCAGCGCGACUGGAGCGCUACAUUUACUAGAGCGACAAAAAGUGCUACAAGAAAAAGAUGAGCUCAGAAAAGCACUGGCCAGUUUAGAAGAAUUAAAAGAGAAAAAAACAGAAAUUAUCGGACUUGCAGGAUUAAGAUAGAUGGAGUGUCACUAUGUGGCCCAGGCUAGUCUCCUGGCCUUAAGUGAUCCUCCUGCCUCAGCCUCCCAAAGUGCUGAGAUGACAAGCAUGAGCUACUGCACCCGGCUGAAAGACAACUAACCAGACUUCACAUGAAAGUGGGAAAUGUUUAAUAUAGUUUUGAGAAGUGAAGAUUGAAAAAUAAUACAACAAUAAUGAGAUGAAGCUGUACAACAUCUGCGUUGAGCCAUUUGACCCAAGCAGUGAAUCAAAGAUUUCAAUGGUCAUAUAUAUCAAAUUUUCAACAAGAAGUUCUGCUUAAUCACUCUAUGGAGUGCUCAUUCAUGUGAAAGAGGAAGUUAUAAAGUAAUAAAGUCACAGUUAAAUGAAUGCUGUAUUUGGGGAUUUGAUACAGGAAAACUAGAAUGCCAUGAACUAAGUUUUCCCUGCUACGUGGGUCUUUCCUCAACUAGAUUAUAAUUCCUAAAGGUCACAGAUCAUAUAUGUCCUUCUUCCACUUCUUCAUUUCUAUUAUUCCUUAUAAAUCUUUCAAAUAAAAUUUGCUCAGUAUAUUGUACUACUACUUGAUCACCUAAGUAUGAAGGCAUAUUCUAUAAAUGCAAGGCUCUGGGCAGAAAUUUCUUCAAUUUGUCCUGACUCAAGAAAGCCUUAAAACGAUACAUAAAGUUUCCCAUUUUCUAGUUUUAUUUCAUAAUUAGUUAAUUGUACAAAUGAUUAUUGAGAGAUUUAGAGUGUUAGGUACUCUUUGAAGUUGCAAAAAAAUGGCAGUGGAGAGAAAAAAGUUCCUGCUCUCAGUAGAUAUGUACUUUCCGUAACAUUUGCUAAUUUUACAAUUCCAUUUGUUGAUUAACAUGUGUCUUUACUCUCUCAAAUUCUCCAUCUUGUAUUCUAUACAUUUACAUAAGUUAUAUAUCUCCAGUACAAAUAUUAUCUCCCUUUUCCCUCCCCACUGGAGAGGCACCACUAAUCACAGAUUUUCAUGCAGUAGACAGUAUCAAUAAAUACUGUGUUUGUGAGCAUCAGGCAUGAAAUGCAUACAUAAAAAUAUCAUCAUGGAUAUAACUAUUUAUAAGUUAAUCUGGUGUCCAGAUAGUUGUUAUACUCUAUAAAAACAAACCAUUUUACUUGAAAGGAAUUUUUUUUCUCUAUUAGAUUCAUUUAAAGAAAGAAAGUCUUGUUCAAAGUUUUCAAGUUCUCAGAGUUCCUGUUGAUCAAACACUUCCUAAGCUCAAGAAGCAUCUUUAGAAUGACUUACCAUUUAAAUUGUAGAGGUAUACUUCCAGAAACAGUUUGUGUUUUCUAAAAUCAGUUUAACUCGUGUUAAAAUUUUUUGCACACAUGCUGAAAUGGUAAAAAAAUAGAAAGUGUCAUGUAUUUCCAUUAGUCUAUCAAUUGUCUCUUUGAUAUUACCUGUGAAAAAUACAACAAUAUACUCAGCCCAUGUGUCAGUAAAUCUCAGCAUGUCAGGAUAAGUAAUUCUCAACAUUAAUAUCAACUUGCUUUCAGGAGGAUAAUAAUGUUUAGGUCAUUUUGACCUUGACGUCAUUCCUGACUGCUUUUUUUCUCUCACACUGCUAACCAAUUCAUUACCAAAUCCUUUCAGCAUUACUUUUCAAAUGGAUGCAGAAUCCAAACAUUCUCAAAAUCUCCACUACUCCAAAUCCAAUUACAGCCACAAUAAUUCCUAACCUUGUCUUAAAAAGACAGUCUAACAUGUGUCCUGCCUCUACGCUUGCAGGUUUUCUUCUUUCCAUAAACCACAAUGAUUCUUUAAAAAUAUGAAUCAAUUAUGUUAUCCCACCGUUUGAAGCCCUGCAUGGCUUCCCACAGCAUGCAGAAUAAAAUCCCAAGGUUCAUGAAGGCUUCUAUGCUAUUCUCGGUCCCUUACUACCUCUCUGAUAUCAUCUGUGAUUACUCCCCUUCUUUCUUCAACCAUACUGGUCUCAUUAUAGAUCCAAGGCUCCAAGCAUGCCUUGGCCUGCCUUAAAGCAUUUAUGCAUGUUCUUCCCAUGAACUAAAACACUCUACUCCCAGAAAGUCAUGUAGUUGGUUCCUUUGUUUCCUUCUGUUUGUAUUUAGAUGGGACAUUUUCAGAACAAGUAUUCCUGGAUCAAGUUAUCUAUACUGUCCAUACUUUCUUCCACAUUUUUUUCACCAUUUCUUCAAGUAUCAUCACUUGCCUUAUAUUUUCUCAUUUAGAUUGGUGAUUAAUUAUUUACUGUUCUUUUUUCCUGCUGCUGCCUACCAUAGAACUUCUGUGAAGAAAGAAAUAUUGUUUUGCCCACAUUUAUAAAGUCAAAAUCUAUAGAAAAAUGCUUGGAAAAUGCUUAUGAUUCAUGAAUAUUCUUUGAAUGAUUAAAGAUUCUUGUUAUUGAACAGUCUGAGAAUCUUUAUAUAAAGGGGUUCUAAUUUGAAUGCUUUGUGUAAUUUAAAGUAAAAAUAGAAUGUUUACAUGAAAUAUUUAAAUUAAAUAGAUAUUUUUACACUCCACAUAUCAACCACUGAAUAAAUGUUUUUAAGUUUGUGUGAAUGAACAAAAAUGAAAUAUGUGAAAUAUGUAUCACUACAGCCUAAUCUUCAAUGAAAUCAAUCAAUUUUUAGAUUUUUUGAGCUAUGUCAUGAAAUAGAAGAUAACAUUAUCUAAAAAAGAUUCCAGAGUUUAAAGGGAAAAUUUUUUUGGUCAAGCCUAGGUGUUUUUCAUACUUUAUAAAGGCAAAGUAAUUUAUUAAAAUAGAUUUCUAUGUUUGUAUUUUAUAUUCUUUAUAUUUUCAGUUCUGUAGCUUAAGCACUUGAAUAUAAACAGUUUUAUACUGUCACAUAAUGUAAAACCCUUUGCAUUGUUGUGAUUAUCUACAGUUAAAGACAAUGAAGUCAUCUAAUACUCUCAUUAUGAUCAUCUCUAUCUUAAAGAUGGGUCACUAUAUUUCAAAACUUUAGAGUUGACAAAAUUUAGAAAGAAAAUAGGUAAAAUAUAUUUCUGUAUUGCAAAAAUGUGCUUGCAUGUGUGUUUGUGGAGAGAGAGUGAGAGAGCAAGAGAGAUUUGUUUUACUACUCAUACAAAAGCAAAGUUACAACAUAGUAUCUUAGGAAGAGUUUUAUUGUUAUCUUAUUAUAAUCCAGUUGAGCUCUAUAGAAAUUCUCAGAAUGUAUAACAUGAAAACCAAUAUUAUUUGUGAUUUCUACUGCUUCAACAUUUACUGUCAAGAUCCUUGACAGAAGAUCUAUUUUCUAUACUUACUGUUUCAACACUCUUUCUCCCUUUUUCAGUGUUGUGUUCUUUUCUGAGAGGAACUUACUAUUUCAUCUUGUGAUAUGUUGAGGCUUGCUAGAAAUUCAAGUCCAAUUCACUAGGACUAAAUAUAGAAAACAUCAUAUUUCCCAGCCAAGUAUAUAGUCAUAUCUUGUAAAGAGAAAUAUUACAAUGUCCUUCUUUGAUAUAAAAUAUCGUAAAGAUUUUCAAUUCUUUAAAUAGAAUGGUGACAUUUAAAUACAGUAUGUACACAGUAAAUAUGUCAAAUGAAGUGGAAAUAUACUAUUUCUCAUAGUACUUCAAGUUCUUAAAUUUUAGGAAUGGUUACUGUAUUAAUACUGAACUGGGAAAAAUCAUUGUAUCUGCAUAAUUUUUGAUACUAAUUGUUAAUUUAUUAAGAACAUAUGCUUGUGAGUGAUGUCACUUUUCCUAGAAUUUGACUAUUAUAAACAAAAUAAAAUGGAGAUUGAGGGUUUUUUCUGUAUUGCUGGGAAUUAUGGGAAAAUAAUUUAAAGGUAAUGUCUUUACAUUUUUAUGACAUAUAAAGAAUAAAACAAC